CGCGGGUCGGGUGCUGUGUGUUGGGGAUUAAAAUCCCGAUCUCUCUCCCCUUCUUCUAUUUUCGGUCCCAGCUUCUUCUUCCCCCUAUUUUCUUCUUCGGUCUUCUUCUUUUCAAGAACUCUUCUAUUCUAAGAACUCUUCUAUUCCAAGAAUUCAUCUCCUCUAAGAACUCUCAAUCUCUUCAAGUUUGGUAAGAUCAAAGAUUCUUCAGAAGCUCUUGACUUGGCCGAAUUUCUCACCUCUUCAAAAGCUAGGGUUUGGCAACUUGUUGAUUUGGGUUUGAGCAUUGACGGGCUUCUCCUCCUCCUCGAUUCUUCUUCAAAUUUUAGAUUAGCCAUGUCAACGAGGAGAUCGCGCCUCCCGAGGACCCGCUCAGCUACUCAAUCGCCUGAGAGGGAGCAUCCAUCUUUCACUGGUAAAUAUCAACAUUCAUGGUGUUGUAGAAAGCUCCUAAAGCUCAGAGAGUUUGCUCCAAGAGUUUGCUCCACGCUGUGUGGACUUCACUAGUUCUACUUUACAAUGGAGAGGGGAUAAGCCACAUUUCUGUACCUCCUCAGCUUGUAAAAUGUUAUUUGGUGUUUUGGAGAAACAGAAUUGGGCUACUACUGUUUGGAGUAAAUUCACCAUUCCAAGACGUUCAUUCAUUUUCUAGAUGAUUUGCUUAAACAGAUUGCCUACAAAGAGAAGCUAAUAAAGUAUGGCAUACUCGAUAAUGAUCUAUGUCCUUUGUGCAGUUUAUAUUCAGAGAAUAGAACUCAUCUCUACUUUAACUGUGAUUUUUCCCCCAAAAAUGUUUGGAGAGGAGCUAUGGAGUUCAUACAAGAAAUGAAUGUUCCUGGCAAUUGGGAUGAGUCCACGGAUUGGAUGGCGAGAAGAUGGAGAGGUAACCCUACAAUAAACCAUGUAAAAAAGAGCUACUGCUGCUGCUGCUGCUUGCCUAUACUAUAUUGUGGAUUGCUAGAAAUGUCUUUGUAUUUCAAGGCAAAAGAUCCAAUGUAGCAAGAUUGAUAGGCUUAAAGAUACAAGGAAGAACGGAGCUUGGUGUGAAGCUAUGCAUAUAUUCCCUCAAUUUGUUAAGUGUGAGAAUUAGCUGAUUUUGAUUUGCUUCAUAGUUGGUUAAGUAGUCUAGUUCUUGGGGUUUGCACACCCAUUUUAUGUAGCUUGCUUGCCCCGUUUUGAUUUUCUGAUGUUGGUUUCUUAUUGUGCUCUCUCUUUAAAGAGCACUUGAUGUACAUGUUUUGGUUGAAACUCAUUUGUAUUGAGUGAAUAAGAUAUAAAGCUUGUGGUUU